UAUUGAAAAAGCUGGAACUCACCAGACUUCCUGAUCCACCCAAAAAAACUCAAUCAGCCAAAACAAAACCCAAAACCAAAACUGGUGCUGCUUAAUCCAAAUUUCACCAGUGUCUGUCCCACAAGUAGAUGUAAAACUUCAGUAACUGCUAACAAAAAGUUGAAACAGAGUCUGUAUUUCACAAAUACUCUCCAAUGCAAAGUGUAGAGUUUGCAUAAUAUAUUAAAACAACAGUAUAACCAAAAUAACAGACUACACCUGGAGCAGACUGAGGAACAGUGAAUUGUCUUCUGCAAAAGCUGCAUACACAAUUAGACAGCAAGGAAAGAUGGAAAAAAACGAAUAAAAAGAGAGUACAAGAACUAUCCCCAAAGAUGGAGAAACAUUCACAUUGAAAUGUACACAGAUGGCGGAAUCAUAAAGCAAAAUAGUGAAAACUUUUACUUAGCAGGAUGAAACUGCUCCAGUUACAGCUGAAAACAAGCAACUAAAAAAGCUCUGGAAGAGAAAAAUACAACAAUUACCUACUGCUCUCCUUCACUCCCACAUGCAAACACACACAAAGUUUUGGGCAAUGAUCCAGAUCUUUAACUAGCAAAUAUGGGAAUGUUGUUUAGAAGUCCUUUUCUUACCGCCAGUGGA